rfam:Stegodyphus mimosarum contig22692, whole genome shotgun sequence.
GCCUUCGUGGUGUAGUGGUCAGCACGCUCGGCGCGUAUUCAAGAGUUCCGUGGUUCGAGUCCCGGUUAGGGCA